rnacentral:rRNA from 1 species
CUUUAAGAGCAAACGGUGGAUGCCUUGGCAUCUGGAGCCGAAGAAGGACGUAGCAAUCUGCGAUAAGCCUCGGGGAGUGGAUAAGCACACUGUGAUCCGAGGGUGUCCGAAUGGGGAAACCCCGCUGGGCGGCGUGCCGACCCAGUGACUCCCGCCUGAAUAUAUAGGGCGGGUAGAGGGAACGUGGGGAAGUGAAACAUCUCAGUACCCACAGGAAGAGAAAGCAACCGCGAUUCCGUUAGUAGUGGCGAGCGAAACCGGAACAGGCUAAACCGAGUACGUGUGAUAUCCGGCAGGAGUUGCGUAUUCGGGGUUGUGGGACUUUUCUGGUUGUUCUGCCGAGCAGCCGGCGUUACAAGAAGGUAUAGACGAACUGGAUUGAAAGCCAGGUCAUAGAGGGUGCCAACCCCGUAGUCGAAAUGCCUCUCUUGGCGCGAAGAGUAUCCCAAGUAGCACGGGGCCCGAGAAAUCCCGUGUGAAUCUGUCAGGACCACCUGAUAAGCCUAAAUACUCCCAGAUGACCGAUAGCGGACAAGUACCGUGAGGGAAAGGUGAAAAGUACCCCGGGAGGGGAGUGAAAUAGUACCUGAAACCGUUUGCUUACAAACCGUUGGAGCCUCCUUAGUAGGGGUGACAGCGUGCCUUUUGAAGAAUGAGCCUGCGAGUUAGCGAUACGUGGCGAGGUUAACCCGUGUGGGGUAGCCGUAGCGAAAGCGAGUCUGAAUAGGGCGAUUCAGUCGCGUGUCCUAGACCCGAAGCGAAGUGAUCUAUCCAUGGCCAGGCUGAAGCGACGGUAAGACGUCGUGGAGGGCCGAACCCACUUAGGUUGAAAACUGAGGGGAUGAGCUGUGGAUAGGGGUGAAAGGCUAAACAAACUUGGAAAUAGCUGGUUCUCUCCGAAAACUAUUUAGGUAGUGCCUCAAGUAUUACCUUCGGGGGUAGAGCACUGUUUUGGCUAGGGGGUCAUGGCGACUUACCAAACCAAGGCAAACUCCGAAUACCGAAGAGUACAGCUUGGGAGACAGA